rnacentral:rRNA from 1 species
UACGUAGGGGGCAAGCGUUGUCCGGAUUUAUUGGGCGUAAAGAGCGUGUAGGCGGCUUUGCAAGUCCGUUGUGAAAACUCGAGGCUCAACCUCGAGACGCCGGUGGAAACUGCAAAGCUAGAGUCCGGAAGAGGAGAGUGGAAUUCCUGGUGUAGCGGUGAAAUGCGCAGAUAUCAGGAGGAACACCGGUGGCGAAGGCGGUUCUCUGGGCCUUACCUGACGCUGAGGAGCGAAAGCAUGGGGAGCAAACAGG